rnacentral:rRNA from 1 species
AUGGUGCGGGAGGCCAUCACGUCGAUAGACUACGACGAGCACAUACAGGAGCUGGUGGACUGGGUGGAGGAGCACAAGAAGCAGAAGAUUGUGGAGAAGGCCGCCGUCGGGCUCGGCUCGCCGACGGUGAACCAGACGGUGUUCGCCUCGUUCCCGCUGGACAUGGACUUCGGGUUUGGCCAGGCCACGCUGGCCAUGCCCGUAUGGCACCACGGCAGGCUCGCCUCAGGCAACCUGGCGGUCGGUACGCGGCCUGGAGGCGACGGCUCAUGGAUUGUCAACGCGUACGUGUGGCCGCGGCUAGCGGCGGCGCUCGAGUCUGACGGCCAGUGCAUCUUUAAGCCUGUCACGGCAGAGUAUCUCCAGUUCGAAGCCACCAUCUUCACCAUACAACACACAAUAAAUUAA